GCUAGCUACAUGUGCGCCGAAAGCAGAACUAAUUCGAAAUCAUUGAGGAUUUACACAUUACAAAUGCAAUUCCUAAUGGCAAUAAUUAAGUUUUAAUCCUUAUUGUCUUUUUUAGUUGUAUUUAAAACAACGGUAGUGGAUGCAGUGUGGCUGGAAUGUUAUACAGGUGUCAACUGUACAAAUGUGUUCAGUAGCUGGGUGCAGGAUCACGUGACUUUGUGGGAAUCGGCUUCUGCCAUCGCCCUGCUUCCACUUACAGUCUGUGAGCAGUGACGUCAAGGUCCCCAAUGCUGUCGCCGAACAUGUUGUAGAAGAAUGAGAGGCACGUGGGCUUAUUUGCCGAAAGUGUGUGGGACACAAUUGCCGCGUUGUCUCCCUGCACGCGGGGAUCGGAGGCUUGGAU